AACAAGGUCUCCGUUGGUGAACCAGCGGAGGGAUCAUUAGAGUUAAAAACGCUCUAACCCACUGUGAACACUACCGUGUAUGCCUCGGCAGGCCCUUUUAUUAGGGCCUGCCAAAGGAACUAUGCAAACUAUUAUUAAAGUCGUGAGCGUAUUAUGAAUAACUAUAAAAACUUUUAACAACGGAUCUCUUGGCUCUAGCAUCGAUGAAGAACGCAGCUAAAUGCGAUAAGUAAUGCGAAUUGCAGAUUUCAGUGAGUCAUCGAGUUUUUGAACGCAUAUUGCGCCUGCUGGCUAUUCCAGCAGGCAUGCCUGUUCGAGCGUUAUUACAACAUUAGACGUCUGUCUUUGUUAGAGAUUGGCUAGCGGCCACCUCUGAAAUACAGCAGCAGCUGUCUGCCCUAGCUCCCUUGUGUAGUAAAAAUAAGCCACGCAUUGCGGAAGAAAGGCAUCUUAACUGCUAUAAACUUUUUAAUAGUUUAACCUCGAAUCAGGUAGGGAUACCCGCUGAACUUAAGCAUAUCAAUA
rnacentral:rRNA from 1 species